rnacentral:rRNA from 1 species
UGAGGAACAUGACCUUCGGCGGGGGAUAGCCGGCCCAACGGCCGGGUAAUACCGCGUACGACCUUUCGGGGACAUCCCUGGAUGGUGAAAGCAGCAAUGCGCCGAUGGAGUGCCUCGCGGCCUAUCAGCUAGUUGGCGAGGUAAUGGCUCACCAAGGCGACGACGGGUAGCCGGCCUGAGAGGGUGACCGGCCACGCUGGGACUGAGACACGGCCCAGACUCCUACGGGGAGCAGCAGG